GACGAACGCUGGCGGCGUGCCUAACACAUGCAAGUCGAGCGAAUGAAGUUCCUUCGGGAAUGGAUUUAGCGGCGGACGGGUGAGUAACACGUGGGCAACCUGCCUCAUAGAGGGGAAUAGCCUCCCGAAAGGGAGAUUAAUACCGCAUAAGAUUGUAGUACCGCAUGAUACAGCAAUUAAAGGAGCAAUCUGCUAUGGGAUGGGCCCGCGGCGCAUUAGCUAGUUGGUGAGGUAAUGGCUCACCAAGGCGACGAUGCGUAGCCGACCUGAGAGGGUGAUCGGCCACAUUGGGACUGAGACACGGCCCAGACUCCUACGGGAGGCAGCAGUGGGGAAUAUUGCACAAUGGGGGAAACCCUGAUGCAGCAACGCCGCGUGAGUGAUGACGGCCUUCGGGUUGUAAAGCUCUGUCUUCAGGGACGAUAAUGACGGUACCUGAGGAGGAAGCCACGGCUAACUACGUG
rnacentral:rRNA from 1 species